rnacentral:lncRNA from 1 species
UAAUGACAGGCAAAUCAAGUUUAUUCGUGUUCACAGAACAUACAUACUAGGCGACCCCAGACAGCCGCCCUCUGACAAUCCAUGGACCCAAGACUCCUGCAGCUGCCCCUGAGAAGCAACCAGAAGACAUCAAAGGCCGGAUUCCCAAGGGUCUUCCAAAGCCUUACAACAGACUACAGAGUUGAAGUGCUGGAAGACGGAGUGUUACCCCUAAUCUUAUUACACCCCCCCCAGACUAAUCCCCAAGCUGGGAGUCCUACCACCCGGGUCCUCCCUCCCACAACUCUGUCUUACCGACCCUAUAAAUCGUAAUAAAUAUCUGUGUUACAGCAGGGAGGCAUAUCUCGCACCCCUGCAUAAGUUAGAAUAAAUAUUACAUACACCCCUCCUUCACCUAGGAGGAUAUACAUAAAUACAUAAAUAUUAAUUAGACACGGAGAAAGUCUCUGUCCGUCCCCAGUGGGCCUAGCCAGGACCCGCGGUGUCUCUUGGCGGUAGUGUUCUGAGUUAGCGUUGCCUUAGAAAUCCCAGUUUGGGAUACGUUCUCUCGCACCAGGUACCCAUCCAUGGUGCCUUUGUUUCUUCGGACUGUGACCCAUCGCGUUUAGAAGGCCGCCGGAUGUUGCUGGAGAAAAGCUUUAAGAUCC